rnacentral:ncRNA from 1 species
AUAAAUUUUAGUAUAAAAUUUUAAUUAUUUAAAUAAUAAUUAAUAUAAAAUUGUAGUAAUUAAAAUUAAAAAUUUAAGAAAUUAAGAUUUAGUAAUAUAAAAAUUAAUAACUAAUUUUGUGCCAGCAGUUGCGGUUAUACAAAAAUUAAAAUAAAUUUUUUCAGUAUAUAAUAAAUAAAAAUUAAUUAAAAUCAAUAUUAAAUUAUUAAGUGAAAUUUUAAUUUAAUUAAAUUUUAAAAUAAUUUUAUGAUUUAGUAAAUUUAAUAAUAAACUAGGAUUAGAUACCCUAUUAUUAAAAAUUUAAUUAAUAAUACUAAAAUAGUAGAUAAAAAAUAUUGAAACUUAAAUAAUAUGGCGGUAUUUUAGUUCAUUUAGAGGAAUCUGUCUAAUAAUUGAUAAUCCACGAAUAAAUUUACUUAAUUUAAGAUUUUAUAUAUCGUUGUUAAAAAAAUAUUUUAAAAUAAAAAUAAUAUUUAAAAAUUUUAAAAAAAAAAUUAAUUCAGAUCAAGAUGUAGAAUAUAAUUAAGAAUAUGAUGGAUUACAAUAAAAUAAUUUAAACGAAUAAUUUUAUUUUAAAAUAAAAUUGAAGGUGGAUUUAAAUGUAAUUUUAAUUAAUUUAUUAAAAUGAUUAAAAAUUGAAAUAUGUACAUAUUGCCCGUCACUUUCAUUUUAAAAUUGGAAUAAGUCGUAACAAAGUAGAGGUACUGGAAAGUGUUUCUAGAAUAAA